rnacentral:lncRNA from 1 species
UUUUUUAUGAUCAUUUUGUCAUACCAAAAGUACUUUCUCAGUUUAUUUACUAAACAUAUGUUAAAAUUCCAUAGCACUUUAGAAAUGUAGUUAAUAAACAGCAAACAGUUUUUUAUAAAAACUCUACUUCAAAAAGCUCUAUUUUCAAAAGCUCUACUGCCAACAGCUUUGCCGAACAGAGCCUUAGGCCCUGUUUGGGGGAGCUGUUGGCA